ACGAGGUGGGCAGACUCCGGGGAGGCGUCUGCCGGUGGCUUUGUGAUCCAGGACGCACCCUAGAACUGCUUUCUUUUCAGAUGCCCCAUGGUGUGGUCACUGCAAACAGUUGGCUCCCAUUUGGGAUAAACUAGGAGAGACGUACAAGGACCACGAGAACAUUGUCAUCGCCAAGAUGGACUCGACUGCCAAUGAGGUGGAGGCCGUCAAAGUGCACAGCUUCCCCACACUCAAGUUCUUUCCAGCCAGUGCUGACAGGACGGUCAUCGAUUACAACGGGGAACGCACGCUGGAUGGUUUUAAGAAGUUCCUGGAGAGCGGUGGCCAGGAUGGGGCAGGGGAUGAUGACGAUCUCGAGGACCUGGAAGAAGCAGAGGAGCCAGACAUGGAGGAAGAUGAUGAUCAGAAAGCUGUGAAAGAUGAACUGUAAUACGGAAAGCCAGACCCGGGCGCUGCCGAGACCCCUCGGGGGCUGCACACCCAGCAGCAGCGC
rnacentral:sRNA from 1 species